GGCCCGUUCGUCUAGUGGUUAGGACAUCAGGUUUUCAUCCUGGCAGCAGCGGUUCGAUUCCGCUACGGGCUACCA
rnacentral:tRNA from 1 species